CUGAGUCCGAUUGGUCGGGCGGACCAAAACAAGGAGCAUCUCGUCGGGGGAGACCGGCUGCGGCGUGAGGCGGCGGAGAGAUCCCCCAUCCGCCCUGCCCCCUCCCGCGCGGGGAUCCCGUCUCUCACCGCUCCCGCAGGGGCCGCUACGACGGGUCUUCCCGGCCCCGACGCUGGGCACACAUCUGCGCCGUCUCCAGAACAUGGACGCUGCGCUGCGCUCCGGGGCUGUCCAGCGACGCCCCGCCGCUUCCCGCAGACGUGCAAAACAGCAGCGCCCCCGCUCCGAGUCCUUCGCCGCGGCCCCGGGGAGGAGGCGGCUCCCGGGGCCUGCCGCGGCCGACGCCCAGCACAGAUCGGAACUGGGCUGGGCUGCGGCCUCAGGCCGUGCCCACAAGCCAUCAGAGAGGUCAAAACUCGGGAGAGCCCAGGGCCCAGGGCCCACUGCCUUCCAGGGCCCGCAGGUUAGCAAGAGCUAACCGCUCGAAGGCCAUCCUUUGUCAUUUCAUUACAUAUAGCUAUUUCUGAUAUUUUCAGACCUAUAAUAAAGGGGAGAGUUUCUUUUGGCCACUCUUUUUCUGAACUAAAAAAGGAAGAAACAUUCACUGGAAGUUUCGUAGGGUUUUAGAUUACCACCUGAGGAUGCAAUACAAGGUGAUUUAUAGGUUAGGGACUUAUUCCAAUGGGUCACCAGAAGCUUUGUCACCGAAAAUCGGGAAUAAAACUCCUUAACACCAAUGUAGUAUUAAGAAGCAGGCAUUAUUUAUUGCGGCACCGGAUGCACGGGGGAUCGCUCCGCCUAACGUGCAUCCCGAACUAUUUUGCAGGUCCCAUUUUAUGUCACAUAGCUAUACGUAUUCAUUACAUUUCCAGGAAUUAUCUGCAUAUGUAUGAGUCUUCCUGGGACCUUCAUUAAUAUUAUAAUGUCCUUUUACACCUGCGCAGUUAUGCCUCUAGGUGGUCGGCUUGACGGUCUGGUGGUCGUUACUUCCUCUUCACCCCUCUUCAUCCCGUUGUUUGCCCCAGGAUCCUCUAAGUUCUUGCACAUAUCCCUUACUUGGCACUUCUUCACAAACCGCAGAACCAGCUCGGCCUGGUUUUUCUGCUGCAGACCCUCUCUUAUCACUUCACACAUUCCUUGACUAAGGUAAACACUUCCUUAGAUGGUUAGUAUCUACAUACAAGAACUACAAAGCCUAAACAAUAGCUGGCCCCAAGGAUACAGCCGACCCUGCAACUAAAAGCUAGUUUCUUUAUACGCUAGGACAAAGGUUCAUGCAGCAAUUACAGCAUUAUAUCAGCUUUAACAGUGAAACAGGAUUGUUUUCAUUAAGUAAUUGAGUUUUUGUCUGGAUCCAUUUUCCUGAAACUCUUCCACAGCAAUCUUUAAGUUUGUUACCUGCUACCAUUUUGCCUCUUCACCUUCCUUUCUCUCCCAAAUUCUCACUGAAUAUUUCAUUAUGGCAACUCCCUUAGACAGAGCAAUGUCUGAACCAGAUAGUCUUUUUUCUGCAUUUAUUUAAGGAAAGAUUCUUUAAGGAAAGAGUUGUGAAAAAAGUUAUUUACUUUAUAGAUAUGUCAUUCUUGUUAACUAUCUGAGUUUAUAAGAGAAGUUUCUUUUUUUCAGUCAGGAGGCACUGUCUAUGCAGAUUGAAAAUUCAGCUGUAGUAUUGCACUUUAAUAGCAUGGAAGGUGUCUUUACAACUUUAACUUCUCCCAGAUAUUAAAGAAACAAAAAACCAUUAAGCCUUUCUAGGAUAAAAGCCUACAUCUGUAUAAUUUCUAGAACUUGCACAGCAUUUAGUUCAGUUUCCUUUGAAACUCUGCAUACGUGAAUGGUUUGCAUUUCAAGUAAUUUAGAUGAGGUAAUGUGAAUAGCUAAGGGGUUUUUUAAUAUGCUCUGCUAUAAAAUUUAAUUUACUUAAUUUUUAACCAAAGUGUACCUUUUAAAGCAAGUGCAUAUUGCGCAUAUGCAGUCAAACAACCCUCACUAAUGUAGUAACCAUCAUGGUUCUAAAAUAUAGGUAGAUUAUUCUGAGUGACCAAAAUAUUUAAAUCUCUUGAGUAUGUUUAUACAGCAUAGAUUAUUUUAGAAAAAGCACCCAGAAAUAUGAGUAUAUAUGACAUACAGCAUCAUGAUUUAAAAAUUAUAUUAAAUUGUAUUUGGAUGCUCUCUGUUAAGUUAUGCGAUCAAAGCUCAUCUGCACACUCACAAAGGAGCUCAGAGAGGCAAUGGCAAGAGGGGGAGCCCAAAUAAUACCCUGCCGGGCUACUCCCAGUCCCAUCACAGGGGCCAUCAGUCAAUCAAAGGCCCAUCUGCACAAGUCCAGAGGAGCACAGGGGCACAAAAUACUGAACAGGAACCCAAAUCAAGGACUCCUGAGCAAUGAACACCUUCUCCGGGCCAUCCCAGGGCUGUCCCAGCAGAGCCAUCAGACCCAUUGUCCAGGCAUGAAACCCAUCAUGACGAGAUGAGUCAUCGGGAGCAGCUCCCCAGAUCACCUUUUCAAGACUCAGGGAGGUUGCUGCCUAGGGGUGGGACUUUUUAUGAGAUGCAGGGGAAAAGCAGUUUGGGAUGGGAUUGCACAGGACUUACUAUGGGAUGUUUAGGGGAGGAACCAAAGGCAGGACAAGGGAGUGGUUUAGGUGAUUUUGGGGAGGAACAAGUGUGGACAAAUAGAGGGGUAAGGGGAUAAAAAGGGCCAGUUGUGUGUAAAUAGUUUGCUGGUCAGUACACUUGUCUGGCUAUGCCCUGUGCCUGAUCAGCACAGUCUGUCCUAUCUUCUUAUUAAAUGCCUUUCUAACUCUUUUCUGGCUGAGGGCUCGCUAUUCUGGGUGGGGUGUGGGUGGUGUAUGGGGGUGUGGGUGCAGCAACUGGAGUCAGACCAUGAGUCGGAAGGCCCGUGUAUCUGUGGUGCCAGCAACUGGAGCAAGUGCAGCUGUGUGAGUGAGUGUGAUCACUAGUGAAGAUCAAGCCGGAUUAGUUGGGGAGUAGGUGGACUGGGAGCAAGUGGGUGAGUGAGUCUCUAAGGUCCAGGUCUGGGUGUGAGAGAGCCUGUGUAUCUCUAAGGGUAAGAGCAUUGGGAAGGGUCGGCUAUUGGGACCUGGGAAGUCCUGGCCAGCUUUGUGUAUGUGUGUGUGUGUGCACAUGCGUGCACACACAAUGGUCUGUACCAGCAAUUGGAGCAAGGCUGUGGCCUCGGGGGCUCAUAUAUCCAGAUGCCGGCAGCUGGGGAGACUGGGAUCCAGGGGCCAGCUAUGAGUAGAAUGAGGCUGUUGGUGCUGUCUCUGUUCAUGCGAGUGCUCUGAGCGUCUGUCAGUGAUCUGUGUGGCCAGCUGUGUAUGUAUGUAUAUAUGUGGUGCAUAUGUGUGCUCUGUGCGUGUCCCUGCUGGGAAUGCAUUUUCAGCCUUGCUACUGUUUGGACCUAGGGACAUGGAGUGGCAGCAGCCUCACCUCUCAAGCUGUUGUGUCCAGCAUGAUAUAUUUUCUCUAACACUCUCUGUUGCAAUCAGUUCUCUUGAGCACCUGAGACCAAAAAGGGAAGCUUUUAGUUUUAAGAAUGAACAUGCUGUUUAACAGAGCUUCAGUUCUUCCAACGUUUGUUUGGAAAAACAUGGUGUCAUAAUUGUUUCUCAGUGGUCCUAUUUUGCCUGUGUUUUCAAACACAUCUGAAUGGCAUGGAUCUUAUAAAAUGAAAAUCUAAGGGAACCUAUGUUCUUUUCACUGUGUAGAGUCCUGCACAAAUGUACUGUCAGAAUAUAUGUUUUGUGAAAUGGUUAAAGAUUUAGAUAUGCUUAGCUUUCAUCCUUCCUUCUCUGUUCAUGCCAUGUCUUUAAUAUUUGCUUUAAAAUAAUUUUAAGUGUCCUCUUUAACAGAAGAUAAAGAUCUCAGGAUCUAGUUUACCCUGAAAGAUUCUUAAGAAAUUUGUAAAUCUGCAUGUUUUAUUUAGAAGUCAACAUUUCAUCUACUCUGAUCAUGCAAGAUUAUCGAUCUUUUAAAAAUCUUGGUAACCUAAAAUAUGUGAUUGUUGUGUUCUGUAUGGGGAAAUGAUUGCAUUUGUUUCAUACAUAUAUCAGUCACCAAUCCCAAUUUUAAUAUAUCUACUGCUGAUAGCCUAUUUAUUUGUAGAACUCGGCAAGGACGCUGCUGUUGCUGUCUUUUGGAUAUUUCAUCUACUUGCUUGAUAGUUUCAUUAUGCCAAUAAACAAAUGAAUAUUCCCAUGUUUACCACAAGAAGUCAGACUAGUCAUACAGCAUGUUCUGAAAGUAAUCAGAGAGUUUAUUUAGGUUCCGUUGUACAAUUGGGAUAUCUUAUCACAGUUUCAAGGUCUAAAAUAGGAAUUGGUAACAAUUUGCUUCUUCAUAGUGAGAGAGGUAAACCUUCCUCUCUAUGACAGUGAUAAAUGAACUGAAAUAGAAAGAUGCGAUUUAACAUCUCUCUUUUUAAAAUCUUUUUAAAUUUACUUUUAAAAAUGAGUGUAUUAAAUUUCAGAAAUAAAAUAAAUUAUUGAUGUGAAUUGAAUUGUUAUAUUCCUCCAUAUCACAAAGAAAUUAGCACGGACAGCUCAGAAUUGCUAAGACAUUAAGACAAACAUCUGUUUAGGUCUGGGUUGUGGGUUUUUUUCUACCUUUUCAUUAGACACUGGGUGGAACUACUCUUACUGAUUGCCAUAGGUCCUGCUGCUGCUUUGCCAAAGAAGCUGUUUUUACAUAUAUAUGUGUGUGUGUGUGCGCGCGCAUAUGUGUUUGUAUAAAGUGAAAGAGAGAGAAUUACUGCAGAUCUCAUUUGACAAUGAAUAUUAUUGGAAUUAUUAUUAUUGGAAAACAGAUUAUUUUUUUCCUAAACCCACUAAUUGCAAGAAAAAGAUAAAUAGUUAAGCAAACCUAUACAAAUAGCAGGACAGGAAGCUCAACAGACAGGAAAAAUUAGAUUUCUGAGAGGAAAAGAAACACUAUGAAAUAUCUGAAGUGACAGCUAAUGGCUAGUAAUCUUAAAAGCUCACAUAACAACAUCCAAUGAAUAUCCAAUACCUACAAGCUACAAUAAAAGGUAGAAAAAGGUUAGAAAGCUGUUUUGGCUCUUAUCUUUUUACCCCUAUUCAUGCCAGACUCCUGUUAAAGUCACUGAGAAUUCUGUGCUCAUAAAAAUGUCCAAAGAUAUAGAAGGAUAGUUAGAAAAGGGAAAUGAAAGAAAUGGGGGGAAAAAAGCAAGGGAAUUCCAUUCUAUAACAGUAUUUUGGACUGAAAGCAUAUUCUGCACAAGAUCUAUGAGUUUUUAGAAAGCACUAAAGGAAACAGUCUUGUCCAAGACAGUGUGUAUAUAUAUGCUGAGUAUGUACACAGAAAGAUGCCAUUCAGUGAAAGCAGAGUCACAGUAAGAAAAAUACAUUUCCAAAAUAGAUUAAAAGAAAAAUGUUGUCUGCGAGCAAAAAAAAGCAAUAAUGAAACAACAUUAAAAAGGGGGUAGUAUUUAGCAUUUUUUAUUAUUUUAAAAAGGUGCAAUUUUAUUUUUGGUAAGAGCAAAGAUGGUUAAGACCUUGCAGCAGUAGCUUGCCUGGGUGUUCAAAUAUGAAUUUCCAAAUGAUGGUGUAUGAAAUCCUUUCCAAAGUGUUGUACCUGCCAAAAUCCUCACUUCCUUCAGGAAGUCCAGGAUUUCACUUGGCUUGUUUCCUUCUGCGCUCAUCUCUGGGCAUUCGGCUAGAAAUAAAAAAAGAGAGUAAUUUCAGAUUUUCUUCCUGCUUUCCCACUUGAGAAUGGACUCUCAUGUUCUGGGUGGCACCCAUGGCAAGUUGCUCAUCAGUAGUCAGUCUAAAAUCUCCUAAACUGUUGUUGUCCAGACAUCAAGGGUGAGGCCAGACUUUCCCUUGUGGGAAAGAGAGGAUGAAAACCUUCAGUUACUCUUCCAUUGCUCCUGAGUGAAUAGAACAAAGCAAGUUGAAGUUAUGGAAGUUUGCAAACAAAAAACUUUCUGUAACAUAAGUGCUAUGGUGUCUGUCAUAGUAUAAUAGAAGAAAGCAAGUGAAAAGCUCAGAUAGAGCUGAUGUGUAUCCAAAAUGGGAUAAUUCAUUAUCUGUGUUGAAGAAUAGCCUCUAUACUUCAUUUAAUAAGAAUAAAAGAAAUGGUGGGCUUUUGUUUCUAAUUAAAUACAUGUUCACGGUGCAGUGGAUAAAUGACUCAAGCAUCAAGGAAGGUGAUCUUGAAUAUACGGAGGGAGUUAGAUGAGAGAAAAAAGUAAGUGACAUAGUAGUAUUCAGUCAGGUAUCUUCUGGUGACUCAUCCAAAUCCUGCUGAAAUCAGUGGUUUCUGUAGGUUUUUAUAUUUACCUUUGUAGAGGGUGAAAUAUUUUUAACCUAGGAAAAAUGACUUUAUAGAUUAUAGAAGCCAGCCCUCCACUAUGGGCGUCCCCAGUUUAAUAAAAUGUAAGGAGUAGCCGCCUCUUGAAAUCAGUUAAACUUCUUGUCAUCACUAUUCCUAUUGAGGGGCUUCUCUAGAAAAUUAUUCCUAUAGUAUUGAGGAAAGCCACCUGCCCCCUCCCUGCACCUAUUUUCUAACUGGGAAAGCUAUUUUUAUUAAAUACAAAAGCAACCAACGUGUCUAGAUAUGAAGUAGCUUGAAUCCUCCAUUUUUUAAUUAAUCCAAACUAAAAUCUUAAACUGAAGCUUUCACAGACUCAAAAGUUCAAUUUGGAUGCAAGUUGAUCACCUCUGUUAUUGAAAUGUAGAACUGACAUUUAGUAGUAAUUUGGUUUAGAAGAGCUAGAUGCUUGUUUAAGCUGUCAUUACACUUUGCAUAGACCUAUGAGUUAUUUGAAGUGUCAAAUAUACACAGUGCCUAUAGAGGACAGAGACAGUGGGUUUGACCCUGACAAUGUGCAGCUGUGAUCCUACAGCAAAGAAGUAAAUAACUUUGAGGGAGUAUGAGAUGAAACCCGGAUGAAACAGAGACAAAGGAGGAAUGUGAUCUCACCUCUGGAAGAUAAGGAAACAGGGUGAACAGCAGAGAGUAGCCUAUAGUGAACAGCAACUGGGUGCGUGGGUAGUAGAGUUUGACCAAUAAUAAAGCUUUUAGCAGCAUGUGUACAGAGUAUAAAGCUGUAACUGACUAACAAUAAAGAUCUUUGCUUCACCAUCCUUGCAAAGCCCAUGCCUCAGUUGCCACAAGCGGUGACCCUGACGUGAUGGUCAAUAAGCCGCGGACGAUAGAGCGGUUAGUGACGACGCCCAGCUGAACUCAAGAAAGCAACGGUACAGAGAGCUGUUUGGUCCGGACCUCAUCACCUCUACAGGUGAGCAGCUGGGGACGAUAUGGGUUCCAUAUUGAUAUCCAGUAUAAUAAUGGAAAUACUAGAAAGGAGAGGGGUAAAGUAUGAGGAAGCAGCUGUGAAACUUUUCCUUGCCUGGCUGCGCAAGCAGGGACAUGCUGCGGAUGCCACAACAGCAUUUCGCACUCAGCUUUGGGAAGAAGCAGGAAAGACGCUAUUUGAUGCAGCAGCAAAGGGAGAUUCUACAGCAACCUCUUCUUUGACAACGUGAGGCUCACAGAGCCCCGAACCGGUGGCAUAGCCCAACUGAACCAGGAUCCGUGGAAACUUUGUGCACUCAUCACCUACAAAAAAGGUGAGCAGUCGGGCACGAUGGGAGGGAAGUUAUCCCGAGAUCAACAGCGCAGCCUGGACGUAUUGUGAUGGCUGCUUGCAGCUCAACAACGAGCUGUGACAGGUCUGCAGCUAGUGACUCUGUUAGAAUGGAUCCGUGACAAGGUGCCAGACUUUCCACCUGAUGGCACUUUGCAAAUUCCUGCCUGGCAAGAGGUAAGCAGACGAUUGUACGAUGCUGCUGCGGAGGGGGACUCCGCAGCAGGAAUGCAUUUAGCACCUUGGUCGCAAAUUCUGACUACUCUUCACCAAGUGUGGACCAAUUCUACUAACAGUGCUAAACCAGGGGAAGCUGUAAAUUCCACUGACAGCACGAGUACGAUGGCGACUCUGUCCACACCUCCUCUGCCCCCAAAGCUCCUGUCAACAAUUGCAGCAACCCUCACAGCACAGGACCAAGUGCGGAAACAGGACAACUCAGACAAUGAUUCCAUUGAUGUGGAUAACUGGCUAGCUGAAAAGGGUCACAUAGACAUAGUCCAGCUGGCUGGACAAAAAUGCACAUCGCUCUCAGCUUAUCUGAAGUAAAGCAAAAAUACACUAUCCUUGGCUGUUCUUGUUACGCAAUAACAGGAAGAUCGCGGUGGGAAAAGAAUGUUACAGGUGGGAACAGAUAACUACAGAAGAGAAACUAGGGGCGGGCUUGGUAUUUAGGCAACUAACCAAUAAUGAGCUUAACUUUUGUAAUAUGUAUGAGCUAAUUAUAACAAGGCAUAAAAGGUGACUGUAAGGGACAAUAAACGAAGUCUGCUGAUCACUCAUAUUGAGUGACUGCGUCUUCCCUCCGUCGCGACAAAUGGCGCCCGAACAGGGACCCUAGAGAAGGCUGAACCUGCGAGCCAUGGUUCGACAGAGAUUCGGGUACCGGUCCUGAAAGCAGCGCAGGAGGCAGAAGGGCACAGUCCCCGCGCCCGGGAGCACCUACAGAGGGUCCCGCCGGCCACACAUCGCCGAAGUCUUGCAAAGGCUAAACAGCGCUGACGACGGUAUGGAGAGACAAGCGACGUACGAUUUGCUCAUAUGCUUUUUAGAAAAGCGGAGCAUUUGGGACAUAGAUUGUAAAAAGGAAUUCCUCGGGUUAUUAGCGUAUGGGAUAGCAUCCAGGUCCCCCGCGGCAGCGGCGAGCGGCGGCGCGCGGCCCGGCAGGCCCCUUCCCGGCCGCUGUUUCUCUCCAAGGCGGCACCCCCCCCUCCGAUCGGCGCCAUGGCGAUGCAAGCGGCCAAGCGAGCUGACAUCUGGCUGCCCCCAGAGGUCAAUCGGAUCCUUUAUAUUCGGAACCUGCCGUAUAAAAUCACAGCGGAGGAAAUGUAUGAUAUUUUUGGGAAAUACGGACCUAUUCGACAAAUCAGAGUUGGAAACACUCCUGAAACAAGAGGAACAGCUUAAGCUUCUCAAGGAAAAAUACGGAAUUGAUUACAAACCCACCAAAAAAAGUGCUUCAGAUGUCCCCUACAAGAAAUGGGUUUCUGCCUUGAACUAGCAAACAUCUCUGUGUUUAACGAGAAGCCUUUUUGCCUUGAUGGAGAUAAUUUAUUCUGUAUUCUGUAUUUAUGCUGUAUUCUGAAUGUGGAAAUUGGUUGGGACUAGGAGGCUGGCUUAAAGGCAUUUUGCAAACGGGAUUAUUAUUUUUGAUCAUUAUUGUAAUAAUAGUUUUUUUGAUCAAAACCAGCCAAAAUUAUUUGUAAGCAUUAGGCAUAUCUGAAGAGAAUGCCUUUAUUUGAAUCAGCAGUUAAGGUGUAGUUUAGUCUGAUGCUGUGGUUUUAUCUGCUUCUGGUGAAUUUUUGAAGUGAUGAAAUCAGAGAUACAAGGUAUACUAAGAGUUAUGAGGUAAUAAGGUAAUAAUCUAAGUAAGGGUGCUGUCUUUUAUAUCUACAAGUGCAAUAUGCUUUUAUGUAGCAGAGAGAAACUUUAACAAUAAUGUUGCUUGAGCGAGAUGUGCAUGUGACAACUUGGGAAAAGGGAUAUCACAACUGGAGUGCAACAGUGUUUCUACGUCUGGCAGAGUGAAAUCUUUCAAGACCUGAGUUUAGACAGUCUAAAAUAAAUUGUUAGCAUUCAGAAAACCCAUCUUAAGCCUCUUUUGCUUACAUAGUGUUAUGGAAGUCAACUGCUAUUCUAGAGAAUUAAUGAUUUUUUAAUACAUAUUAACAAAUACUACUAUUUUAACUUGAGGCAGUUGAGUGAGAAAUUCUCACGUGUAGCAUUUGAGGGAAUGUCAGCAUAAAUCGCACUUACAGUAAGACUGCAUUUUUAAUUACUGUACUCGUUAAGAUUCGAUGAUGCCAUAAGGCUAAGGCCUUUUAUCACAGAUCGGUUCUGAACUAAAAGGUGUGUGCACAUGUAGAUAUGCACAUUUGUGUUAUUUUCCUUAAUUGGCUACAAAAUAAUAUAAUUAGGUUGGGGACUAGAUCUUGGGAAUUUGUCUAUUAUACUUCUGUUUGUUAAGGAACGUGCAUAACAUACAGCACCCAUGUAGGCUUGGCUUGUGGCAUAGUUGUCAAAUUUAGCAUAGACAUUCAGACAGAUAAGCAACGUACUCUUCUUGUGUGUAUCACCUACAAGCCAUUAUGGCUUAGUGUGUAAAUCUGUAUGUAACUAUUGAAAAAUCCACUUAUGAAUGUAUAUAGCUUAGAACUAAUUUUUUCCCUUUGUUAAUUCUUUGAUAUCAAUGAGGUAUUCUUCAGAAAAUGUAUGGACUGGUUGGUUGCAUAAGGGCAGUUGUUAUUUGGACAGAAAAUUGUUAAUGGUCAGGGAUUUUCCACUAAAAUAUUUGCAAAUAUUCCUAGUCAAACAUCAGUUUGGUUUCUUUUUGGGUUUUGAGCUUGCAUUAGUCCAUGUUCAGAACUUUAAAAUUACCUUUGAAUUUUUUAAACUUUUUAUAUCACUGGAACAGAAAGAGCAUCUAAAUUAAAGCUUCAAGCUAACUUUAUUUUUCAAGUAUUUCAGGAAUUAUACUUCUGAACUGAGAUUUUAUAAGUUGGCUGUGUAUUUUCCUGUGUUAAAACGCUGUUAUUGAAAAUGGUCAACCAGGCCUGUGUCGCCCAAAAUAAAAACGGGGGAAUUGUGGAUAACUGGCUAGCUGAAAAGGGUCACAUAGACAUAGUCCAGCUGGCUGGACAAAAAUGCACAUCGCUCUCAGCUUAUCUGAAGUAAAGCAAAAUACACUGUCUUUGGCUGUCCUUGUUACACAAUAACAGGAAGAUUUUGGUGGGAAAAGAAUGUUGCAGGUGGGAACAGAUAACUACAGAAGAGAAACUAGGGGCGGGCUUGGUAUUUAGGCAACUAACCAAUAAUGAGCUUAACUUUUGUAAUAUGUAUGAGCUAAUUAUAACAAGGCAUAAAAUGUGACUGUAAGGUACAAUAAACGAAGUCUGCUGAUCACUCA